GGCAAUCCCCUAAUGUUCCCUUCCACCUUGUGGAAGUUUUGUUCUUUCGCUCUUUGCAAUAAAUCCCAUUGUUGCUCGCUCUUUGGGGUCUCACUGUCUGUGCGAGCUGUAAUACUCGCCGCAAAGGUGUCUGGCUUCACUUCCGAGACCAGCGAGACCCCGAACCCACCGGGAGGAAUGAACAACUCCGGAUGGGAGGGACAAACAACACCAGACGCACCGCCUUAAGAGUCCUAACGCUCACCGCGGAGGUCUGCGGCUUCACUCUUGAAUGAAGCCAGCGAGAUCACAAACCCACCAGAAGGAAGGAACUCUGAACACAUCCGAAAAUCAGAAGGAACAAACUCCGGACACACUACCUUUAAGAACUGUAACACUCAAAUCGCGAGGGUCCACGGCUUCGUUCUUGAAGUCAGUGAGACCAAGAACCCACAAAUUCCGGACACUUCCCCACACAGAGGGAACUGGCCUAACACUCUGAAUCUACAUCAAGGAACUCAAGCGCUCUUGUUGUCUUCCUGGGCAGGUGGUGCCAAUAGGAUGUACUGACAGAUCAGAAGUGGUCGUGAGAGAAGGAGCAAGUAGCCAGAAGAGUGAAGUGUGCACUGGCUGAGAUGUGGGAGCAGGUGUUGUUGGUUUCCCCGGACAAGAAGGCCCUCGCCAGAUAUCAAGGCCUUAAGCUUGGACUUCCCAGCCUCCAGAACUGUG
rnacentral:lncRNA from 1 species